rnacentral:rRNA from 1 species
UACGUAGGGUGCAAGCGUUGUCCGGAAUUAUUGGGCGUAAAGAGCUCGUAGGCGGUUUGUCGCGUCGAAUGUGAAAACCCGGGGCUCAACCCCGGGCCUGCAUUCGAUACGGGCAGACUAGAGUUCGGUAGGGGAGUCUGGAAUUCCUGGUGUAGCGGUGAAAUGCGCAGAUAUCAGGAAGAACACCCGUGGCUAAGGCGGCUCUCUAGUACGGUACUGACGCUGAGACGCGAAAGCGUGGGGAGCAAACAGG